rnacentral:lncRNA from 1 species
UGUGAGUGUAGACUAACAAACAGGGAGUAACAGAUGAGCCCAGACCGUGGGAAAAGAAAAUCACAAAAGCGUGUGUUGCUUUCUUCAGAAUGCCUGCAGCGUGUGCCAGGCAAGGAUGCCAGGCCUGCCGGGGCAGAAGGGCGAGAAGGGCUCCCCAGGACUGCCCGGCGCCGAGGGCAUGGAGGGACAGAAGGGAGAGCAAGGUCUGCGAGGCCCUGUGGGAAACCCUGGGAAAGAGGGACCAAAGGGAGUUAAAGGAGAAAGAGGAUUCCCUGGUUCUGCUGGAGAGAAAGGAGAUGAGGGCCCCCCUGGCGUACCCGGAUUCCCAGGUGCAACAGGUCGUACUGGAGCUCCGGU